rnacentral:lncRNA from 1 species
ACGGUCUUCUUCUCCCUUGGCAUAGCAGCAACCUCACCCAUCGAUCUCUAUCUUCAAUACAAAUUUUUAAAUUUGAGCGACAUCCAUCCGGGCAUUAACCAGUCUCACUAAUGCAAUGGAUUCAAACUCUUUGAAGACUUCUUCAACUCAAAAGUCGUUUAUCUUUUUCAAAGCUAGAUAAGAUCACUGAGUGGAAGCAUUUAAGCUUGAAAGGUCCCCUUAACAGGACGACUCACCCUUUGUUUCUUUAUCCUCUGCAGAUUGAGCUCAGAAAGCUAAUACCACUGCAUAAGGAGCUAGAGCAUUAGGUAAGUCUUCCCUAUUUGUUCGGACAUUUCAAGAGAAUAGCUUCAACAAAAAUGCUUUUUCUUCAUGGUCUGAAAAUAUAGCACGAUAUUUUUUAUCGUUUGCACUGCCUGUGUUUUCAAAUAAGCUUGUAUUUUUUUACUUGAAUUAGUGUAUUGCAGCUCAUGUGUCAUGACUUUGAAAUCUAUUUUGACACCUUGUAAAUCUGAUGUUCGAAAUCUGUUGUUUGUCCAUUUGGAUAAUCGCCUUGGCCCUCUGUGGUAUUUCCGAAACAGUAUGAAAUUGUUUGUUGUUAGUACCUGCAAUGAAGAUGUGGUUAGUAAAAAAAUCUGCUAACAUAUUCCCUUGUUUGUAAGUGUUCAACACCUCCACAGUAUGCUCUCUCACCAGCCCUUGGAUUCUUCUUAUAUCCACUACAAUAGCCCAAGGAAUUUCCCAAAUCCCGUCUAUGAUCUUCUUAGCAAGAAGAGAAUCUGUUUCGACAAUUAGAGGAAGCAAAUUAUUCGAGAUGCAAUAUUCUAAUCCAGCACCCAAAGCUUUCACUUCUACCUCAAGUGCAGAUCCUACCAAUACCUUGUUCACUUCUGCAUACAUGAAAUCCCCUAAGUGAUUUCUAAUACAAAAUGCAUAGACACUGAGGUUCAUAUUAUCCUUGUAAGCACCAUCACUGUUGCAUUUAAACUUACCUUCCUCGGGGAGCCUCCAACUAACAAUUUUACUAGAGAUUAGAGGACUGUAAUUAUCAAAUGCUUUCACAAUUAGCGGCCAAAACAUAGGAAUAUUAUCUAACCAAGGAUAUCUGUAUGCUGCCAACAGAGAGAAUUUAGACAUCUUCCCUCCAUGUGUAAUUUUAUUCCUUCUUUUCCAAAUUUUCCAUAUUAUGAACACAGGAACAGCUUUGAACAAAGGUUUAAGUUUUGGUACACAUUUUCCAUUCCACCAUUUAUCAAUUGUAUGUUUAAGCUGUAAAAAAGGACCUUGAAUCCCUACAACAUCUGCAAACAACUCCCACAGUUCAUUAGCCAUAGGACAUGUAAUAAACUGAUGUUCAAAGGUCUCUUAAGAAUCGUUAUUGCAACAGCAACACACAACAGAAUCAUGACUUUUAUCUUGAUCAAAACCUCCCCAAUAGGAAUUCUUUGAAACCAAAUUCUCCAUAGCAAAAAGGAUAUUCUAAAAGGAAUUCCUGAUUCCCAGAUAUUCAUAAUCCCUUCCUGUUUUCCUUUUCUUUGUCUGGAAAGUUCCCAUGCACUUUCCACAGUAAAUUUUCCAGAACUUUUGGGCAUCCACCAUGCCUUAUCUCUUUCCUCAGAUUUCUGCAGCCUUCCAAAAACAUUAUGAAUUUGGUUGCACACUUUAGUAGGGAAUAACUCCUCCAUCAGAUUAUAGUUCCAUCCUUCCUCAUUUCUGAUCUGUUGAACCUCUUUAUAGGCUUCAUUAAUCUCAUAAGAAAUAGGAAGAUAUGAAUGUAUAGCCCCUAGUUGUAUCUAAUUAUCAUACCACAAGCUAGUAUGACCAAUUCUUGUCUCCCACCAGAUAUUUUGGUCAAAAAAGUCUGGCUUGUAGCAUAUGCUUCCAAAUCUGUGAAACACCUUUCCAUUCUACCUUCUGAGGUCUAAUUCUUUUACAAUACUUAUUCCACAUGAAAGUAGACCAUAGGGUGUUUGUGGUUCUGAAUUUCCACCAUAGCUUUGCAAAAAGAUCUUUUGAUACAUCAAAUAAGGAUCUAAAUCCCAAUCCUCCUUCUUCUUUUGGUAGACAUAUGUCAUGCCAAGAUACCUAAUGUUUUGCCCUCCCCCCUUCUUUAGAGUUCCAUAGAAAUUUAGCAAACAUCCUAUGGAUAUCCAUUAUCACACACUUAGGAGGCACAAUAGCAGAUAACAAAUAAAUAGGAAUACUCUGCUAAACACUAUUGAUUAAAACUGAUUUCCCUCCAAAUGACAACAAUUUUCCUUUCCAAAGUUACAACUUGUUUUGAAUAUUUUUAAUCAACUCUGAAAAGUGGGCCUUUUUCUUCUUUGCAUGUCCAAGUGGACAUCAUAGAUAGAUCAAGGGAAAAUUUGCUUUCACAAAACCAGUAACACUUUCAACAACUUGAACAUCUGCAGUUGCAACUUUGUUGAACAUGUAGUAAAAGUUUUUCUCCUUAUUAAUUUUCUGUCCAAAUUGCUCCUCAUAGUUAUUCAAUACCUCAAUUAUAUACUGUAAAGAUUUUUCCUCUGCUGCAGCAAAUAUUAUAGUAUCAUAUGCAUAAGCAAGAUGAUUCAGCUUCUCACUCCAUUUAGGCAUCCCAAAGGGUUUAAAAUCUGUAUAAGAAAACAAACUGUUAAAAGCUUUUGAUAAUACUUCUGCAGAGAGAAUGAAAAGUGCAGGAGAUAGGGGAUCUCCUUGUUUAACACCCCUGGAAGAAUGAAAGAAUCCAUGGGCUUGUCCAUUAAUGAGAAUGGAAUACCAAUUAUUUGCCAAAAUCCUCCAAACCAGAUCCAAUAUAUCCCCAUCAAAAAUCAUCAUUUCCAUCACAUUAAUCAAAAACUUCCAGUUCACCCUGUCAUAGGCUUUAGCCAUAUCCAAUUUGAUUACCACAUUAGCAGGUUUACCCAUCUUUCUUAUAUUAGGAUGAUCUCUUGAGCAAGCAACACAUUUUCAGUAAUACUCCUUCCCUUAACAAAACCAGAUUGAUUUUGUGAGAUCAAUUUGGGCAAUAAAUCUUCCAUUCUAUCAUGCAUCACUCUUGAAAUCACCUUAUUGAGAAAACUACUCAAACUAAUUGGUCUUAAGUCUGAAAAGGAUUUGAUCACAUCUUUUUUUGGAAAAAGAACCAAAUUAGUAUGAGUAAUUGAUUUAGGGAGGGUGCACCCUUGAAAAAAGGCCUGAACAACUUUCAGAAUAUCACCUCCUACUAUCUCCCAACAAUGUUGAUAGAAGUGACCAGUGAAACCAUCAGGUCCACUUGCAGUAUCACCAUUUAAUUCAAAAACCACCUUUUUAACCUACUCUUCAGAAGGUAAAGCUUUAAUCCUUAGGUUUUCAGCCAAAGUAACCUGAGGAGCAAUGUGUUGGAGAAGAGAUUUAUCUGGAUUGCAAGAACUUUCUAAAAAUUUGAUUUUCAAAAAACUUUAGAGCUUCUAUAGCAAUUGCUAAAUCUCCUUCUGCCCAACCUCCAUCUUCUUUAAGAAUUCUCUUCAAGGUUAACCUCUUUCUUCUCCCUUUUACCAAGCAAUGAAAGAACUUGGUAUUCUUUUCACCUUCAUAAAACCAUUGGGAACUUGAUUUAUGUCUCCAAAAUUCCUCCUCAUAAUGAAUAUAUAACUUGAGUUCUGCCUGUGCUUUCUGUAAAAUAGUUCUAUUAAAAGAGUUGGGAUUUUGUUCAAACAAUUCUUUUUUCAACCUUACAAUUUCUUCCCUAAUCACCAAUUGUUUGAAGAUAUCCCCCAAACUUUUCUUUACUCCACAUGCUAAGGGAAAGUUUAGUUUUCUUUAACUUCUGCUUCAGCUGGACAAAAAUAUCACCAUCAUAAUCAGCACACCAAUUAUCUAAGACCACUUUUAUAAAGUUAUCCCUCUCCGUCCAAAAUUUCAAAAAAUUGAAAGGCUUGGACACAGGCUUAUUAGAUCCACCACAAGUCAACAAUAGAAGAGCAUGGUCAGAGCCUGUUCUAGCAAGAUGUUGUACUUCCACAUUACCCAUCAAAUCUUGCAUAGAUUGAUUGAUAACAACUCUAUCAAGUCUCUUGAAAAUACAUCAUGCAUCAAUCCUACCAUUCCACCAAGUGAAUGGGCUACCAGAAAAAUGCAAAUCAAACAAGUCACAAGAAUUGACACAAAAGGCAAAAUCUUCAUAUUCCUGAGGAUAUAUUGGUAAUCCACAUAUCUUUUCUUCAUCCCCUAGAAUAACAUUGAAAUCCCCUCCCACCAUUCAUGGCAAGGAAAAUUCUUGACUCAAAGUAUAGAUAUCAUCCCACAAACUCAACAUUUCAAUAGAAGAGCCUUUAGCAUAUACUACUGUAGUUAAGAAUUGUUGGUCAUCCUCCAUGGAUAAGUGAAGAGUCAAUUGUUGUUCAGAGUCUGAAGUAACUCCCACUUGAAUAUGUUCUCUAAUGAAUAUCCAGAUCUGCCCAUUACUGUUAUAAUUUACAUACUGCAUCCCCAAUCUUCUCUUGAAUCUUUGAAUAUGAGUAGUAUCUUGGAAUGGCUCCAUUAAAGUAAUAAGAAAGAAUUUGUGAUGUCUGUGUAACAUUUGAACUCUGUGAAAAGCAUUUUGUGUUUCCACAGACCUUAUGUUACAGAAUAAGGCUUUUGUCAUUUGGAUAUUGAUUUAACCACCCUCUUAGCUUGUAUCCUUGUUGGUCUAAUAAUGGCAUCACCUUUAUCUACCUUUUCUCCUUUACCAUCUCCCUUUUUUUCUCCCUUUUUACCCUUGGAUAGAGUACUUGGGGAUAAACCAGUUGCACUACACACACUUUUAGCAUUAGAUUCAUUCAUGUCUUCUUCUUUAUCUGCUAUUGUUUGUUUUGUUGUUUCAGCAUAUAUUGUAAUCUGACCCUCUGUUGUUUCAUGUUGAAUCUAAUGAGAUAUUAAUGCAUGCAGGUUUUCCAUAGGUGGUGACUUCUGAGGACUUCCUGCCAUGGGCUUGGUUACUCCUAUUUUCUCUAUUUCUUUAUUUUCUUCUAUAUUAGUUAAAUGUAGUCUUGUUUCCUCUUGAGCAUGUGGAAAACUCCCUUCCCCAUAAGGUGCUAAUUGAAUUUGCAAUGGGACUUCAUAAAUGGCUUCAGCAAUUCCUUUCAUUAAGGUACAUUCACUUAUACCUUCUCCUGUGGUUUGUGCGACCACAAUGUCAGUAAUUAUUUGAUGAUCUACACCUCUUUCAGUGGCUGCUGUUUGCACUGACUCUCUAUUAACUUUAUCUUCUUUUGCAGGUAUAUCAACCAUUUCCACUGAUGACUCAUCCCUCCUCUGCAAAUCUAUGUAUCCAUCCUCUCCGGCCACCUCUUCAGAUGAUCCUUUCCCUUUAUAUUUAGCAAAUGCAUGACUAAUCCAAUCCUUAGAGGAAUGAUGCUGACAUUUUUUACCUUGUUUUUCUUUCUCCAUCAGUCCUCUAGCAGAUCCAUUAACAUUACUAGAUUGAUUGCUUGCACUGCUUAUUUCUUGUGUUUGUGAGUCUUCCUCUGUUCCUUCAGCUAAGGAUCCAAAGGUAUUGCUGGUUUUGACCUCCUUAGUAGGUGUACAUGCUUUGUCAUUCAUUAAGGAGUUGGGCGCUAAUGUGAAAACUCUGUGAGUAGCAUUCCAAUGCUUCUUAACCCCCUUUCUCCACUGCACUUCUGUGUGUUCUUUGGCUUUAUUCGAGUCACCUUGCUGAGUUA